GAGGAGAGUCCGUCUGUGCAAUGUCAA
rnacentral:piRNA from 1 species